GAUGAACGCUGGCGGCGUGGAUUAGGCAUGCAAGUCGCGCGACGGACCUUCGGGUUACGGAGCGGCGAACGGGUGAGUAACACGUGAGAAACCUACCGCAUCAUUCCGGAUAAUUGGUCGAAAGGCCUUGUAAUACGGGGGAGGUUCGUUAAUGGGCAUCCAUUAACGAACGAACGAGCAAUCGGUGCUGUGAUGGUCUC
rnacentral:rRNA from 1 species